GGCAGAAGCUGGGCUGGGGCUGGAGAGCCAGGGGGAGAUGGUUUGAGGUGAGGCUGGAGCAGGGCAGGAGGAGGUCAUUCGGGGGCUCAGCCAGAGGCUGUCUUCACCCAGUGGGAGUCAUGACAGAGGCAGUGUGCUUGACCAGAUGCAUCUUGAAGCCUCAGUGCUGUGUGACUACUGGGAACCAUUGCUGCAACCCAGGGUCUUGGCCCAUGAGUCAGCCCCUCCCUGACCCUGUCACUGGGGGUGCAGGCUCCUCCUCCACAUGGGCCCCUGCUUCCCACAAAGUGAUGUGACUUGGACCUCUGAGGUGAUGGAGAAACAGGCUAGUUGCUGACGUCUGUGUUCCCGGGAUCAGCUAAAAUGGAAUUCCUGCGAGACCUGGAUAAAGAAUGGGGGCUCUGGGUUUCCACCACCCUUGGCCUGAGUGUGUGUUAGGGGGUGGUCAGUGACCUCUGGAUGAAUUUCUGUUCUCCUCCUUCUGCUUAAAAAAUAUAUAUUUAUUUAUUUA